rnacentral:rRNA from 1 species
GACGAACGCUGGCGGCGUGCUUGACACAUGCAAGUCGAACGGAAAGGCCCUGCUUUUGUGGGGUGCUCGAGUGGCGAACGGGUGAGUAACACGUGAGUAACCUGCCCUUGACUUUGGGAUAACUUCAGGAAACUGGGGCUAAUACCGGAUAGGAGCUCCUGCUGCAUGGUGGGGGUUGGAAAGUUUCGGCGGUUGGGGAUGGACUCGCGGCUUAUCAGCUUGUUGGUGGGGUAGUGGCUUACCAAGGCUUUGACGGGUAGCCGGCCUGAGAGGGUGACCGGCCACAUUGGGACUGAGAUACGGCCCAGACUCCUACGGGAGGCAGAAGUGGGGAAUAUUGCACAAUGGGCGGAAGCCUGAUGCGGCAACGCCGCGUGCGGGAUGACGGCCUUCGGGUUGUAAACCGCUUUCGCCUGUGACGAAGCGUGAGUGACGGUAAUGGGUAAAGAAGCACCGGCUAACUACGUG